GUCUUUGCAGCUAUGGCUUCCUAAGGAGGAAUGGGUUCCCAUCAAUCCUCUUUUGGUAGGUUUUGGGCAGACCGUGUGCACUCCGCUUAGACCGCGUUGUGGCAUAUGUGCAGUGAGUGGGUUUUGCCCGUCGGCCUUCAAAGAGGCACCUAGCCCGUCGUCCACACCAAAGAAAAAAUGAGCCGAGCAUUCGUAGAUUGUUUGCACAAAGCAUGUAGAAUUUUGAUGUAUAACUCAUUGUUUUGUUAAGGCUCUCUUGCAAUUGUAUGUUGUGAGGGUGAAGGUAAUGUAGAGUUUCUAACCCUAGUAAAUAUAGCCUUUAGAUUUUAAUUAUUUUACUUGUAAGGCUACCAUGAAUUUCUCAAAUGUGUUUGAAUAUGUAUGAUGAUUGCGGCUGGCCUAGUUGGCAAUUUUAAAAUAUUUUGGACAUCACAAUAGUAUUGUUUAUUUUUUUAAA